GGAUUCCCCUAGUAACUGCGAGUGAAGCGGGAAAAGCUCAAAUUUAAAAUCUGGCAGUCUUUGGCUGUCCGAGUUGUAAUCUAGAGAAGUGUUAUCCGCGCUGGACCGUGUACAAGUCUCCUGGAAUGGAGCGUCAUAGAGGGUGAGAAUCCCGUCUUUGACACGGACUACCAGGGCUUUGUGAUAUGCUCUCAAAGAGUCGAGUUGUUUGGGAAUGCAGCUCAAAAUGGGUGGUAAAUUCCAUCUAAAGCUAAAUAUUGGCGAGAGACCGAUAGCGAACAAGUACCGUGAGGGAAAGAUGAAAAGAACUUUGGAAAGAGAGUUAAACAGUACGUGAAAUUGCUGAAAGGGAAACGCUUGAAGUCAGUCGCGUUGUCCAGGGAUCAGCCUUGCUUUUGCUUGGUGCAUUUUCUGGUCGACGGGUCAGCAUCAAUUUUGACUGUUGGAAAAAGAUCAAGGGAAUGUGGCAUCUUUGGAUGUGUUAUAGCCUUUGGUUGUAUACAAUGGUUAGGAUUGAGGAACUCAGCACGCCGCAAGGCCGGGUUUUAACCACGUACGUGCUUAGGAUGCUGGCAUAAUGGCUUUAAUCGACCCGUCUUGAAACACGGACCAAGGAGUCUAACAUGCCUGCGAGUGUUUGGGUGGAAAACCCGAGCGCAUAAUGAAAGUAAAAGUUGAGAUCCCUGUCGUGGGGAGCAUCGACGCCCAGACCAGACCUUUUGUGACGGAUCUGCGGUAGAGCAUGUAUGUUGGGACCCGAAAGAUGGUGAACUAUGCCUGAAUAGGGUGAAGCCAGAGGAAACUCUGGUGGAGGCUCGUAGCGAUUCUGACGUGCAAAUCGAUCGUCAAAUUUGGGUAUAGGGGCGAAAGAC
rnacentral:rRNA from 1 species